GUUAACCUGUCAAAAUUGCUUUACAGCCCCCUUUUAUCUCCCCCCCAUGGAAUUUCCCCUGGAGUUUUCUGCCUGCUCUCUGGUUCCUUUCCUCGCUGCCCUCCAUCCUGCAAAGCCUCCCCACCCCCUGAGUCAUUAAAUAUUGUCAGAGUUCCACCACUUACCACGGCCUUGUUUGCCCAGUGCAGAUAGAUUGCUGUUGACUCUGUGAUGCAGACCAAGGACACCAGGCUCCCGGUCCCAAGAAAGGAACCAGGAUGCCUGCCAGGUUGUGCUUAACUUCACCAGAUGUAGUCAAUUCCAGUGGAUCCUGCCAAGUGCAAUGAGGCCCGGGGGCAGAGCCGGCGGACCUGCAGUAAUUAGGCGACACCUCCCCGCCAGAUGUAGAGGGGAGAACAAAAGGAGCUCACCCCCAUCAGAUUCACUGGGGGAAGUGACCUAGUCUUCCUAAUAAGCAUGAGGCUAGUAAGACUGUUGAGAGAAU
rnacentral:lncRNA from 1 species